rnacentral:pre_miRNA from 1 species
CGCUUCCUCCUUCGCGGGGUGCUUGAGAUCACCGAAUGACGGGAUCGAGCACCACGCCGAUGGACGGAGAUGGCG